ACAUGGCGGCUUGUCAUUAGCAAACAGGACAUGGAUAAAUUCCAUUGUCAUAAAUACAAAGUUGUUACCAUAUUGUGCUGUCAGGCAACAACAUAAAAUAACCAGUGGUGUGGCUUAUCUGACCAGUCUUUGGUAAAAUUUCUUGCAAAAUGGACGUUUCGACAAUUUUCUCACUGCCCGUUACUUGGAGAGUAACUGCCGUUUAUGUAUGUAUAUUUUCUACAGGCAUGUUACGUCGACGUUAAAUUAUUUUGUCGACAAAGGCAUUCCUGGUACAAAACUAGUUACAAUGUGUGGCAAUAUGUGGGGAGGCUGAAAAGCUGUAACGAUCAAGCUGUCACAAGGAAUCUUUUCCCUGAUAAAGUGCCAUUUUGAAUUUAGAAUAUGACAUGGCGUUAGUGCAGAAGUAAGGCACAGUUUUCGGCUAUUUCGACGGACCUCUACCGAAUAUCUGUAUCACAGAUGUAAACCUGUUUAAAGCCAUGUACGUCAAAGACUUCGAGCACUUCGUUGAUCGCAAGACGCUUUUGAUUUCAAAACCAAAGUCAUGCGGAAAUGGAUGACAUCGUUGAAGGGUCAAGAAUGGAAACAGAUUCGUUCGUCCGUCACCUCCGCUUUCACUACUGGCAAAAUCAAACGGUUAAAUUACACACUCACAUAAAAAUAAUAGGUUGACGAAAACUAUGAAUUAA